UAAUUGAAAUAUAAAUCUGUGAUUUUACUAUGUUCAUAACUUCGAUGCACCAAAGCAAGUUAGAAAUAGAUCUGAAUUUUAAUCAGAUUGGUUUCUCUCUUAUAUUCAAUAUAUAUAUAUUUUAAAUUACGCUAUCUAUAGUUCCGUAACUUUCUGUAUAAACCAAUGAUCGACAAGUGCGUACAUUUUUGUGAAAUUAAUAUUUGUUUGUUUCAAAAUGUCCAUAAUUAAAGAACCUUAGUGAGCGCGCUCACAUACCCCACGUCCCCACAUUGUCUUUGGAGAAAUAAAAUAAGUGUAAGAAAAAAAAAUUGUAUCAGAAAAAAAAAUUGAAUCAUAAUUUCCUGUCAAUAUGCACAUCUACAUAGUAUGUCCUUAUUAUCUACACAGUUUCAUGAAAUUCUGUUGUGUGGUUUGAGAGGAGUUGCGAUGACAAAAGGUUGCAGUAGUAUAUUGGGCAAAUAAGUUCAAAGGGGUGCAACUCCUGGAAAAAAAAUUAAAUCGUAAUUUCCUGUCGAUAUGCACAUCUACGUAGUAUGUCCUUAUUAUCGGAAAAGGUUUCAUGAAAUUCUGUUGUGUGGUUUGAGAGGAGUUGCAAUGACAAAAGGUUGCAGUAGUAUAUUGGGCAAAUAAGUUCAAAGGGGUGCAACUCCUGGAAAAAAAAUUAAAUCGUAAUUUCCUGUCGAUCUGCACAUCUACGUAGUAUGUCCUUAUUAUCUGAAAAGGUUUCAUGAAAUUCUGUUGUGUGGUUUGAGAGGAGUUGCGAUGACAAAAGGUUGCAGUAGUAUAUUGGGCAAAUAAGUUCAAAGGGGUGCAACUCCUGGAAAAAAAAUUAAAUUGUAAUUUCCUGUCGAUAUGCACAUCUACGUAGUAUGUCCUUAUUAUCUGAAAAGGUUUCAUGAAAUUCUGUUGUGUGGUUUGAGAGGAGUUGCUAUGACAAGCUGUUGCAGUAGUACAUUAAAGUAAAUAAGUUCAAAGGGGCGUAACUCCUAGAAAAAGAAUUGAAUCGUAAUUUCCUGUCGAUAUGCACAACUACAUAGUAUGUCCUUAUUAUCUAAAAAGGUUUCAUGAAAUUCUGUUGUGUGGUUUGAGAGGAGUUGCGAUGACAAAAGGUUGCAGUAGUAUAUUGGGCAAAUAAGUUCAAAGGGGUGCAACUCCUGGAAAAAAAAUUAAAUUGUAAUUUCCUGUCGAUAUGCACAUCUACGUAGUAUGUCCUUAUUAUCUGAAAAGGUUUCAUGAAAUUCUGUUGUGUGGUUUGAGAGGAGUUGCUAUGACAAGCUGUUGCAGUAGUACAUUAAAGUAAAUAAGUUCAAAGGGGCGUAACUCCUAGAAAAAGAAUUGAAUCGUAAUUUCCUGUCAAUAUGCACAACUACAUAGUAUGUCCUUAUUAUCUAAAAAGGUUUCAUGAAAUUCUGUUGUGUGGUUUGAGAGGAGUUGCGAUGACAAAAGGUUGCAGUAGUAUAUUGGGCAAAUAAGUUCAAAGGGGUGCAACUCCUGGAAAAAAAAUUAAAUUGUAAUUUCCUGUCGAUAUGCACAUCUACGUAGUAUGUCCUUAUUAUCUGAAAAGGUUUCAUGAAAUUCUGUUGUGUGGUUUGAGAGGAGUUGCUAUGACAAGCUGUUGCAGUAGUACAUUAAAGUAAAUAAGUUCAAAGGGGCGUAACUCCUAGAAAAAGAAUUGAAUCGUAAUUUCCUGUCGAUAUGCACAACUACAUAGUAUGUCCUUAUUAUCUAAAAAGGUUUCAUGAAAUUCUGUUGUGUGGUUUGAGAGGAGUUGCGAUGACAAAAGGUUGCAGUAGUAUAUUGGGCAAAUAAGUUCAAAGGGGUGCAACUCCUGGAAAAAAAAUUAAAUUGUAAUUUCCUGUCGAUAUGCACAUCUACGUAGUAUGUCCUUAUUAUCUGAAAAGGUUUCAUGAAAUUCUGUUGUGUGGUUUGAGAGGAGUUGCUAUGACAAGCUGUUGCAGUAGUACAUUAAAGUAAAUAAGUUCAAAGGGGCGUAACUCCUAGAAAAAGAAUUGAAUCGUAAUUUCCUGUCGAUAUGCACAACUACAUAGUAUGUCCUUAUUAUCUAAAAAGGUUUCGUGAAAUUCUGUUGUGUGGUUUGAGAGGAGUUGCGAUGACAAGAAACAGGACUGACGGACUGAUGGACUGACAGACUGACGGACUGACGGACGGACGGGUCAAAAACAUUAUACCCUCUGCAACUCGUUGCGUGGGGUAUAAUUACAUUGUAUCUAAAAUUAAAGAAUCUUAGUGAGCACGCUCACAUACCCCACGU